CCGGAACUCCGCCCCCGCCCUGUCCACCCUGAGCUAGGACCGCGCUCUUACCUGAGAGGCCGAAGAGCCCCGGGCCCAGGGCAGCCCAGAGGCCGAGCAACGCCCGGCACAGCCCCGGCGAGGGCCCCGGCAUCGCCGCCGCGGGGGAAGCGCAGGAGGCGAGGAGAGCGCGAGCGCUGAGCUGGGCGAGAGGACGGCGCGGCGGGCCGGGCGAUCGGCAAGACGUUGCCAGGACGGGAGUCUGUGACACCCCACGUGGGCCAUCCGAAUUUUCCUUCCCCGCAGUCACAACAUGGGUACCUUUUCUUCGUAUCUUCGUCCCUCAACGUGUCAUGUGACCCCGACCAUUUGCUCUCUCACCGCCAGCGCUAACGGUGAACUGCGGGGGUAGACGGCCCCCACGACGAGAAGGAUCCCUACAAGGGCCGCGAUGGAGCUGGAGGCCAAGGCUUUGGACGCGGGGCGCCAAGCUGGGGACGGGAGGUGAGAGUGAGGAACGGAGCACAGGGAGGUAGGCCCACCCGCCGGGAGCUCCCGCCGGACUCGCUCGCCCUACCGGCGCGGUGCCCUGCCCGUCCCCUCCUCCAGUGCCCGGGAUCGCAGAGGUGCCUCACCGAGGCCACUCAGCGUUAUGGGUGCCGAGCUGCUGCGGACCACCAGGCCAUCAAGACUGAGGCGUGCAUGGCAGGUCACCGGUUUCCAAAAGUCGCGGAGCCUGGCGGGCGCCGUGUAAGUCAGCGUCACGUUGGCCAGAUCAGAGCCGUUGUAGCGCCUCAGGUUCUCAGAGUAGAUGACCCGGCCGCCGCGCCUCAGAGUCACCACCAGGAAGCCCACGGGGAACACGUGCGUCACGUGGCAGCGCAGAGUGUACUCGU